rnacentral:misc_RNA from 1 species
UCCUAAACCCGACAGCAGCGACAGCUCCGAUUUUUUUAUGAGGGCUAUAGCGAGUGGCGGGGCUACAU